rnacentral:lncRNA from 1 species
UCUCUUUGUUCUUACAGGCUUCAUCUGCCCCCGGGGAAGAACACAGAUCCUACUGCUGUGGAGUUGGGGGUGAGGACAGCAGCCUGUUUCUCUUACAGAGACAUCCAUGUUCUAUGAGCAGAGUUUUAGGCAAAGGAAACAAGAAGUAAUAUUUUCUAUAAAGAUAAAAUGAGAAAGCUGCCAAGAUUUUUAACUAUCCCUUCUCCAGAUCAGAAUACUCAUCAGCUCAAAAACCAAGAGGAAAUCUUGAGGAUCCUUAACUAUGAUAUGGUACUUGAAAAUAUACUGCUAAGACUGAUGCUGAAGAGCAUACUGCCUAUGUUUUCGUCUAGAAGUUUCAUGGUUCCAGGUCUUACAUUCAAGUCUUGAAUCCAUUUUGAGCCUUGGACACAUCCUGGAGAUCCAUGUCAUGGCUCCAACCCUUAGCAGCUGUUUGAUUCCACGAGCCUGUUUUCCUGUCGGGAAGGGGCAUCUGAAGGCAGGGCUCCUGUCCUGGGACGGACGCAUCAUCGUUUCCAGCUCUGUCCCAGAUGCAAGAACCUGGAUGCCAAAUCCAUCCUCUCUGGGUGAAGUGGGAAUGUGUGAGGACGACAGGUCUAAGUCCAAAUUAAAUAAAAAGACACACUCACAGAAAAGACACUUAAACAUUUUAAAAACUAAAACCAUAAAGUAUGGUUUCCUGUCACACACCAGGGACUAUCUGGCCUCCA